rnacentral:lncRNA from 1 species
AUUUUUUCCUGAAACAUUUGGAUUUUGAGAUGGUGUAAAAAGUUCACAGAGAUACUAGUGAAGAUGCAGUUUUAGGAAGCAAUACCUUUGAAAGCAAUAUAUAUAUUUAUAUACUAUGUUUCUAAAAAGGUAGACAUAAUUGCUUGAUAUUCUAACCAGUUACAAUUUAAUGUGUAUAAGGCUGAUUUCAACUGCCAAUGGAUUACUUCAAGAAUGUCAUUGGUUGCAGAAUUGUAAGAAGUUGUGUGUGCUUGUUUAGAAACUUUAAACUGAUGUCCUCUGUAUGCUCUAAUUGUAGGUAUGCAAUCCAGUGUUGAAUUUUAACAAUCAUUUAACAUUUCAAUCGAAGGAGAGGGGCUUUCUCCGUCCGGGUUGCGGAUCCGUGGAAUAAGCUGCCGGACGAAAUAGUGAAGAUACCGACGACCGCUUGGUUCAAAGUCUCCCUUGACCACAAAUGGCCUGAACUCUUUGUAUGAACACCACCCUGUACAUAACUCCAUGUGCCUCUACAUGGCCUUGCUUUUUGCUUUUGAGCCAAAAAAUUAACUUAACUUAUUUCUUUUCUAGUAUCAGCAGAAUGAUUUUAGGCCAUCUGAACGAAUCAGCGAUGGCAAGUUAGUGUGUACAAUUGUGUUAAGGAGGUGUGGUUCAAUAAUGUUAGAGUGGAUGAACUAAAACCCUGAAUCGGGUGUCAUGAAGGCACCAAUGGUGAUUUAAUGUGGUGAUGUAAUCUAGAUUUAUGACGCCUCUGAUUAACCCUUUAGUAUUCCCAUUAUUCUACCAAAUGCGAUGCUUGUUUAUUCACAUUGCAUUGAAUUAAUCCUGCAUUCUCUCAUAGCUGUGAGAUUUCUGCAAUGUGACUCUUUGCUUUGGGAAUAAUAUUGUAGGAUAGGGUAAGAGGCUGGAUCUGAAUGGUCUUGAACAAAAAGGAGGUAAAAUAUUUAGGCCGGAUAUGGCCGGUUUGAAUGCUAAAGGGUUAAGGCAUGUGUAUAUGUAUUCUACAAGGUAACAUUUUGAAAAAAAAACAAACGGAGUAGAAGAGAAAGUGAUGUCAGAAGAAUCGAAAAUAGUGGGUAAAGGUUGUGACUGUAUGUGUGGGUGGGUGGGGGGGAAAUGAGUGAUAGGUAGUGGUACAGGUGGGUACCAGUAGAAAGUGACUCAGAGAAGAAGGGAGUGAUGAGUACAGAAAGUAAUGGCAUGAAUAAUAGGGCGCCACUUACUAGCAGAACUAGAAGAGAGGGUGAGUGGAAGAAAGUGAAUGAUUUGAAAGAGAGUUGAUGAGUGAAGAAAGAGAGAUGAAUGGAUGGAAAGAUAGGCAACAGAAAGAGUGAUGGGGAGAUGAGAUAGUCAAUAAUGACAUGAAGUGGGAGAUGUAGACUUGAUAAGAACAAAUUAGUAGAGAGGCCAAAAUAUGUGCACAAACAUACAUAUAUAAAUCCUUAAAAAAAUGUUUUAGCCCGAAGGCUGCGGCCAUGCUGGGGCACCACUGCUGGUAUGCAUACAUAAAUGAUAAUGAUGAUCAUCAGGUAAUGUCUGUUUUCCGUGCUGGCAUGGGUUGAACAGUUUGACAGGAAUUGGUAAGCUAGAAAGCUGUACCAGAUUCCAAUUGUCUGUUUUCACGUGGUUUCUAUGGCUAGGAGCCCCUCCCUAAUGCCAACCACUUCACAGGGUAUACUGAGUGCUUUUUACGUAGCACCGGCACCAGUGCUUUAUGGGUGGCAUCAGACAGGUAUUUUCUACUUGGCACCAGCAUCGGGUGCUUUUAGGUGCUUUUAUGUGACUCCCAACCAUUCAGAUGAAAAAGGGUGUAGAACCAAGAGAUUAGAGUAUGAUAAAGGGACAGAAGUAGCCUUCUUACUAUGGAGGAAAUACUUGGCUACCACAGAGGGACAAAGAAGGAUAGGAAGGUGGGAGAAAGUUAGUGAGAAAGAGAGAGAGAGAGACACACACAUACAGACAGAGUGAGAAUGAGUGGGUCUGCCCAUAGGGAGGAGCUGGGGCUGGUCUGGCAGGAACGUUAGCACGCCGGGCAAAACGCCUAGCGGUAUUUCGUCUGCCGAGGUCGACUUUACCUUUCAUCCUUUCGGGGUCAAUAAAUCAGUACCAGUUACGCACUGGGGUCGAUGUAAUCGACUUAAUCCGUUUGUCUGUCCUUGUUUGUUCCCUCUGUGUUUAGCCCCUUGUGGGUAGUAAUGAAAUAGGUAUAAGUAAUAUAGAGGGGACUGUUCCUUAAGAAUGUGAGGGCAGAUGUUUAGACAUGGCAGAGAUAGCAAGUGAUGUUGUGAGAGAUUAGAGUGGCUUGGAGGUGGGUAUGGUAUGUGAGAGUGUGUGGAUAGGAAUGAGAGGGAGAGUGGAGGGGGGGCCUGCAAUGGGUGCUGAGACUGUAGGGAAGAUGGGUUGAUAGAAGACAGAAUUAAUUGUGUUUGGGAGUAUGGCCAUAAAGGACAAGCUUGUAUGUAUGGAUGGCCAUGAUUUUACUUAGCCAGGCAUACCAUUUUAAGCACAGCAAAUCGCCAGAAGUCUCAGUCUUUUGUCAUCCUCUCAGUGAGACUCAACAUCUGGAGAUACUUUCUCACUACUUCAUCUCUUGACUUCUUGACUUCACCUCUUUUACAGGUUCCUUCCACAAUUAGAGAUUGGCACUUCUUUAUGCAACUGUCGUCAUCCAUACACAUCACAUGACCAUACCAGCGCAGUCUCUUGCACACUACAUCUGAUGCUUCUUGUACCCAAUUUUUUCUCUUAACCCUUUAGCAUUCAGAUUACUCUGUGAAAUGUGAUGCUUAUAUACUCACACUGUUUUGAAAUUGUCAUGCAUUAUCUUGUAGUUUGAGGUUUUAAUGAUAUCAUCAUUACCAUUUAGUGUUUGUUUUUUAUGCUGGCAUGGGUUAGAUGGUUUAACUGGAACUGGUAAGUGGGAGAGUUACACCAGGCUUCAGUCUAUUUUGGCUUGGUUUCUAUGGCUGGAUGCCCUUCCUAAUGCCAACCACUCCAAACUGCAUCUUGUCCAGGCUAACUCUAUUUCUAAUUACAACCCUUUCUAUAACAUUCAUUACCUGGUUCAGUAAUUUGAUGACAUUGUAAUCGUUUCUGUCUAAGGCAUCACCUUUACCUUUGUAGCAGUUGACUAUAAUGCUGAUACACCACCAGUUUUUGAGUAUUACUCCCUUGAGGACAACCUGAUUAACUAUAUGGGAGACUAGGUCAUAUCCCACUCUAACUGAUAUUUUAAACAUCUCAGUGGUGAUUCCUGAUGGGCCUGGGGCUUGCCUUGUUUUCAUAUCCUUAAUUGCUUUAUCUACUGAACUACUGUCAAUUCAGAUGGCUGGUCCUUUUGUUGGGUCCACAUUAGACAGACUCUUCUUCACCUAUGCAUUUAGCAGCCUUUCAUAGUGAGCCAUCUUCCAUGCAAUGCAGUCUACAUGUCGUCUCUUCCUCAUGCUUAUCUCUUGCUCCCUAAUCCUGUCCUUACUGGCCUGCUCACUGUAUCAUUACUGUCCUGUUGUCCCCACCCCCACUAUAUACCCAGGUUUCAACAGGCACUGCAUUCCUUGUCCCCACACUCUUUGCAUUCAUGUGAAGUCUCUACUCCCUACUCAUGCACCUUUGACAAUACCCUACUAUUUAUAUUCCCUGUAAAUUUGAGGGUUUGCCCUGGCACUUUGCCACCAUCUAUCUCUUACUUGUUCUACUCUACCAUUCCUUUUAUAUUCUGAUCUCCUGUUCCUUGUGUGUAUGCCCUGGCACUUCACAACCAUCUCUUUCCUGCUCCCUCUUGCACUCUCACUACCUCUCUCUGAUCAGGUAACCAUGUAUCUCCUCUACAGCAAGACACCUGUUUCUGUCUCUGUUACACUCUAACUUUCCAUCAUCUGACACAAGAUCGCCUCCUCCAAUUCCUCCUCCCCUCUCAAAGGAUCUUUAUCUUGCAAGUUACUUGGUGACAUUGCCAGUGCUGGUGCCAUGUGAAAAGCAUCUAGUCCUCAUUGUAAAGUGGUUGGUGUUUGGAAGGGCAUCCAGCUGUAAAAACCAUGCCAAAACUAACCUCACCUGUGCUGGUGCCACAUAAAAAGCACUCAGUCCACUCUGUGGUGUGGUUGGUGCUAGGAAGGGCAUCCAGCCAUAAAAACCAUGCAGAAACAGACACUGAAGCCUGGUGCAGCCUUCUGCCUCGCCAGCUCCUGUCAAACCAUCCAGCACAUGCCAAUAUGGAAAGUGGAUGUUAAAAAUGAUGAUGAUAUAAACGUGUUUUCAUAUACACACAUUUGUUUUCUCUACCAUUAGAUAACUCUUCACCAUUCACCCUGUCUUGAGUUCCUAUUGCAAAGUUCUAUUCACUUUGAGUAUUUCUCUAUAAAAUUGUCUUCAUAUGCCCAUAUCAGUGUACAUUACAUUUACGAAGUGAUACCCAAAAGAAACCUGAAUUUUGCAAUAUUAUUUUAUUCACUUAGCUUUACAUGUUUACACUUUUAUUGCCUUCAAAAUAUUCUCCAUUUGAAGCAAUGCAUUGGUCCAGGUGUGUUUUCCUCUAUUUGAAGCAGUCCUGGAACUCUUGCUUUUUAACACCUCUGUCAUUUUUUUUUCUUCACCUUUUCCACUUUUGCAAAUUCCAUAGAACUAGUGGUGACCUUUGAAAAAAGGUCUGGAUCAACUUUCAGCUGUUUUUUCACUUCACAACAUGUAUUCAUGGCACGCAUUUCAUCUUCUGUACACAGGUAGGGACAAAAAUUUUGUUACAACUCUUUUCAUUUCGCAAUUUUUCACUCACAAUUCGUUGGCAGGAGCUCCAGGAUAUACCAGUCGUAUCAACAAGUCCGUCAAUUUUUCAGUGAUGGUCCUCCAAGACCAGUUCAUGAAUUUUCAUGAUGUUUUCAUUUGUUCAGGAGGUUCAUAAUUGUCCUGAACAAGAUUAGUCUUCAAGCAACAAAUGACCAUUCCUAAAGUGUGGAAACUACUCAUAAACCUGUGUUUCGCCCAUGGCAGCAUCCUUGUAAGUUGUUUGAAGCAUUGCAACUGUUUCAGCUGCUGUUUCCCUCAGCAGAAAAUAGAAUUUCACAGAAGCACACUGUUCCUUCAUUUCAGCCUUUUCAAAAAUGAAUGAACAGGGGAAAAGCCCUGUGAAACAAAGAUGCACCACGUGGCAGUGCAACACCACUUGAAAGUGUCGGUUAGCAUACUGAUGCCUACGGGUCACAUCAAGUGGCUGCUAGCGGAGGAAACCUGAACUACAACAAGCUUGCUCCUCAGAGAAUGUUUCCAGUUACUUUUGGGUACCUCUUCAUAAUUGCCCUUGUACCCAGUUUUUAGUCAGUUGUUCAUAUCUUUUGACAUUAUUCAUUCUGUGUAGCAUUCUUCAUUUCUACUCUAUAUUUUUGAAAGUCUGUUUCCGUUGCUGAUCAAAUAUCAUAAUCUAUCAAAAUUUCUUUCCUUUGUUUUUUUGUGUGUUUAUUGCCCUUUUGCAUUUGCCAAUUAGAAAGUUUGCUUCUUUGAUUAAAUUGUCUAUGAUUCCACUGCUACUCUUUUACAAUUAGUACACUAUGGAAUUCCUAACAACCUCUUUUUCUCGAUGUUGUGCAGGACUGCUUCCCUGACAUUAGAGUUCUAUCUUCUUUCCUAUUUAUUGAUAUCUUAGAAUUUGCUAAGUUUACUUUGGGUCCUCUUGAUUUCAGAUUUUGCUUCAAAGUUUGGGAUUUCUUCUUAGGUAUUGUAGUAAUAGUGAGAAACACUUCAUUUAUGAGAGUUAGGUCAUAUGCACACAAGAAUUCACAUGAAAAACUAGUCUUAAACUCCUCUGUUAUGGUUGGAAGGAUUACGACAAAUAGAAGGGGAUUGAGAAUUGCAUAUAAAUAGGGUGCAUACAAGUUGGGUCCCUGGUUGACCCUAUUUGUAUACUAAGUUCAUCACUGUUAUUGCUAACUCUUAUCUUACUGACAGCCUCUUUGUACAUGGUUUGUACUGCCCUCAUAAACUCAAUGAAGGACCUAAAUUUUUGGGGUCCUCAAACUUGAACUGUUAGGGGCCUCUUUACAACCAACAACAAUAGGUAAACAUUAUUCAAUAAAAUCUGAAAGGCCUUGCUUUAUGUACAAGGAUGAUGAAGUCCAAUGGGCAGAGAACUGAGUGACCAGAUGAAGUAUUUUAAAUGGGGUCAUGCAGUGAGCCCUUUCUUACAUGCAACAAGCUCUGGGUAACUGUUGUUAUCCUUUUCAGUGUGUUUGUUCCAUGACAGAUCACUUCAAAUUUUAAAAUAAAUUUUUACUACAUCUCUGAAUGCUAUACUAGAUUAUCUCACACAUUAAAGUAACUGGUAUGAAUAAAAAUUUCCAUUAUCUUAUAGUUUUUUUUAGUUAUAAGUAAUGAAAUUUAGGGAUUAUUUAUGUAGAAGCUUCAUGUGCUGCAGGCUGAUGAAAUGAAACAUAGCAAAGGUCAGAGUUAAUAUAAUCUUUCACUUAAAAACUUACAGGAAUACAUACUAUGUGAAGCACAUAGAAAAUACUUUUUUCUGUUUGCACAAAAUUUUACGAUAUGAGAGCUUCUUGCUUUAUAAUUUUCUGGAGACAAUAUGAAUGAUGGAUUUAAGUGCUUGUAACGAGAGGCAAAUCAAAGAGUUAGGUUUAACACUUUAGGAAUUCAGCAACGUUUUGUUGUUUGGACGAACAAUUGGUGCGUUUACAUCUCGAGGUCUUCUUGGGAACUGGUUUUUGCCUUUCAAAACAUGCACUUCACCGCUGGGUCACAUGUAUCCAGCAGUGAUGAGAUGUUUUGGAUGUAGGCAUAGCACGACUGUGUUAUGCUACCACAAAAUAGUGCAAACAUGUCUUGCUUCAGAUACCCUCCUGCAGUCUGAAAGUCAUUGCAAAAUAAAUGUAAACCCAAAUAUAAUUCUCAGGGCCAACAAAAUAAAGACGACGUACAAAAUUGUGAAAAGUGUGUGUUUGAACAUGGAAGAAUUUUUACAAAUAAUAUACAGUGUUCACAAAAAAUAUAUACAUAGAUAACAGGUAACAUGUCAAAAUUACAUGAAUGCAAAGGCAAGGUAAACAUGCUCUUACUCUACUCUUUUACUUGUUUCAGUGAUUUGACUGCGGCCUUGCUGGAGCACCGCCUUUAGUCGAGCAAAUCGACCCCGGUACUUAUUCUUUGUAAGCCUAGUACUUAUUCUAUUGGUCUCUUUUGCCGAACCACUAAGUGAUGGGGACGUAAACACACCAGCAUCGGUUGUCAAGCAAUGCUAGGGGGACAAACACAGACACACAAACAUAUACACACUCAUACAUAUAUAUAUAUAUAUAUAUACAUAUAUAUGACAGGCUUCUUUCAGUUUCCGUCUACCAAAUCCACUCACAAGGCAUUGGUCGGCCCGGGGCUAUAGCAGAAGACACUUGCCCAAGAUGCCACACAGCAGUGGGACUGAACCUGGAACUAUGUGGUUGGUAAGCAAGCUACUUACCACACAGCCACUCCUACGUAUACACAAAAAGUAAAACAGCAUAAAUGCAUUAAGUAGGAAAAAUUACAAUAUGAUAGGUUCAUAUAAAAACAGUUUUACAUAGUUUCUUAGGCCAAGGGACACGACGACCACUGCAGGUUGUUGUGAUGUAUGUUGGUGGGGGUGAGGAAGGUGCGUGUAACUGAGUUUGUGGUGAGUAGAAUGGUACAGUAUUUGUUUCCUGUUGUACAGUGUAUGAGAGGUGAGUAUGAGGCUCUAGUGUGAGAGCAUCUGUGUACGCCCAUUUAAGUCUAUCGACUGAGACUGUUUCUCAGGAACCAUUCAGGUCUAUGGUGAAAUGUUUAUCAUGGUAUGGCAACAAAUGAUAACGUCCUGAGUAAGGUGGGUGGGGAGAGGACUUCUCACUGCGUCCCUGAAGUUGAGUCGGUGUCCUGUUACCCAAAUAUUCAUCGUGUACCAAUGUGUGAAAAUGCUUGCCUGCAGAGAGAGGUGUCCUGCAAAUAAUCUCAGUCUUGAUGGUUAAAUAAGUGGCAUCUUUUGGGGUGUUAGUGAUGAGAUCCUUGAGAUGAUUUACCAGGGAAGGAGGGACGGAGGUCAAGAGAAUAUGCAGCUGUCACAGCUUGGACAUAAUGUCAUUCGCCAUGGCAUACAAGUCCACCUGGGCACAUCAAGUCAAACAUCCCCACUAAACGCUGGUAACGGUGAGUGACUCAUGGCUGAGAAUUAAAGUCUGUAUGGUAAAAACAGGUGAGCAAAGUCUUCCAAGAAAAUCUUCAGUGACUUGUAUUUUCCAUCCAUCUUUGUAUAAAACAAAUCUAUAAUGAAACAGAAUCAAGAAAUAUUUUUAAUUUUUAUUUUUAGCAAUGGCAGCGAGCAGGCAAAAUCCAGGCGAAAAUGAGGCAAGCCAUAUACAUGUGGCACCAGUGUACAUGCGUGAAGCACCACAUGGUCAUGCUUUGGAGAAGAAGGUCAGCUGCCAUGUUGAAAAUGAAAGAAAAUUCACACAUGUGGUUGCCUAAAAGAAAGAGCAAGUGCUUCAAAGCCUGUUUUUCUUUUCUUUGGGUUUGUUGUUUUUCUUGUUACUUAUUUUUUUCAGGGAAUAAUAUCAGGUCACCAAUAUAACAAGAGGAAAAUCAAAUAGUUAGGCUUACCACUUUAGGAAGUAUAUUUAGAUGUGUGCAUAUAAGAAGGUUUGAAAUGUAUAAAUGUAUGUUUUACGUGAAGGUAACAAUAAAUAUCAG